CGGCCGCGUCGACCAGGAUGAACGCUAGCUACAGGCUUAACACAUGCAAGUCGAGGGGCAGCAUGAACUUAGCUUGCUAAGUUUGAUGGCGACCGGCGCACGGGUGAGUAACACGUAUCCAACCUUCCGUUUACUCAGGGAUAGCCCUUCGAAAGAAAGAUUAAUACCUGAUAGUAUGGUGAGAUUGCAUGAUAGCACCAUUAAAGAUUUAUUGGUAAACGAUGGGGAUGCGUUCCAUUAGGUAGUAGGCGGGGUAACGGCCCACCUAGCCGACGAUGGAUAGGGGUUCUGAGAGGAAGGUCCCCCACAUUGGAACUGAGACACGGUCCAAACUCCUACGGGAGGCAGCAGUGAGGAAUAUUGGUCAAUGGGCGAGAGCCUGAACCAGGCCAAGUAGCGUGAAGGAUGAAGGUCCUACGGAUUGUAAACUUCUUUUAGACGGGAAUAAAGUAUCCUACGUGUAGGAUUUUGUAUGUACCGUAUGAAUAAGCAUCGGCUAACUCCGUGCCAGCAGCCCGNGGUAAUACGGAGGAUGCGAGCGUUUACG
rnacentral:rRNA from 1 species